CCUACGGGUGGCUGCAGUGAGGAAUAUUGGUCAAUGGGCGGGAGCCUGAACCAGCCAAGCCGCGUGAGGGAAGAAGGUACAGCGUAUCGUAAACCUCUUUUGUCAGGGAACAAAGGCGGGGACUAGUCCCCGGAUGAGGGUACCUGAAGAAAAAGCAUCGGCUAACUCCGUGCCAGCAGCCGCGGUAAUACGGAGGAUGCGAGCGUUAUCCGGAUUUAUUGGGUUUAAAGGGCGUGUAGCCGGGCUGACAAGUCAGAUGUGAAAUCCCGUGGCUCAACCACGGAACUGCAUUUGAAACUGUCGGUCUUGAGUAUCGGAGAGGCAGGCGGAAUUCCUAGUGUAGCGGUGAAAUGCGUAGAUAUUAGGAGGAACACCAGUGGCGAAGGCGGCCUGCUGGACGACAACUGACGGUGAGGCGCGAAAGCGUGGGGAGCAAACAGGAUUAGAUACCCCGGUAGUC
rnacentral:rRNA from 1 species